GACACUAUGGCCGAGUGGUUAAGGCGACAGAUUCGAACACGUUAAAGCGUGAUUGAACAUCUGUUUCGGUCUCCGAGCGCAGGUUCAAAUCCUGCUGGUGUCG